rnacentral:rRNA from 1 species
GUCUCCAGCCAUACUACCCUGGAUGUGCCCCAUCUUAGCUGACCUGGGAAGCUAAGCAGGGCCUGGCCUGUCUAGUUACUUGGAUGGGAGAAAGGAAGAGGAUUAUGUGACC